ACGAACGCUGGCGGCGUGCUUAACACAUGCAAGUCGAACGCUGAAGCCUGGAGCUUGCUCUGGGUGGAUGAGUGGCGAACGGGUGAGUAACACGUGAGUAACCUGCCCCUGACUCUGGGAUAAGCGCUGGAAACGGCGUCUAAUACUGGAUACGACCCAUAGAGGCAUCUCUUGUGGGUGGAAAGAUUUUUCGGUUGGGGAUGGACUCGCGGCCUAUCAGCUUGUUGGUGAGGUAAUGGCUCACCAAGGCGACGACGGGUAGCCGGCCUGAGAGGGUGACCGGCCACACUGGGACUGAGACACGGCCCAGACUCCUACGGGAGGCAGCAGUGGGGAAUAUUGCACAAUGGGCGCAAGCCUGAUGCAGCAACGCCGCGUGAGGGAUGACGGCCUUCGGGUUGUAAACCUCUUUUAGUAGGGAAGAAGCGAAAGUGACGGUACCUGCAGAAAAAGCACCGGCUAACUACGUGCCAGCAGCCGCGGUAAUACGUAGGGUGCAAGCGUUGUCCGGAAUUAUUGGGCGUAAAGAGCUCGUAGGCGGCUUGUCGCGUCUGCUGUGAAAUCCCGGGGCUCAACUCCGGGCCUGCAGUGGGUACGGGCAGGCUAGAGUGCGGUAGGGGAGAUUGGAAUUCCUGGUGUAGCGGUGGAAUGCGCAGAUAUCAGGAGGAACACCGAUGGCGAAGGCAGAUCUCUGGGCCGCUACUGACGCUGAGGAGCGAAAGCAUGGGGAGCGAACAGGAUUAGAUACCCUGGUAGUCCAUGCCGUAAACGUUGGGAACUAGAUGUAGGGCCUGUUCCACGGGUUCUGUGUCGUAGCUAACGCAUUAAGUUCCCCGCCUGGGGAGUACGGCCGCAAGGCUAAAACUCAAAGGAAUUGACGGGGGCCCGCACAAGCGGCGGAGCAUGCGGAUUAAUUCGAUGCAACGCGAAGAACCUUACCAAGGCUUGACAUAUUCGAGAACGCCCCAGAGAUGGGGAACUCUUUGGACACUCGUUUACAGGUGGUGCAUGGUUGUCGUCAGCUCGUGUCGUGAGAUGUUCGGUUAAGUCCGGCAACGAGCGCAACCCUCGUCCUAUGUUGCCAGCGGUUCGGCCGGGAACUCAUGGGAUACUGCCGUGGUCAACACGGAGGAAGGUGGGGAUGACGUCAAAUCAUCAUGCCCCUUAUGUCUUGGGCUUCACGCAUGCUACAAUGGCCGGUACAAUGGGUUGCGAUACCGUGAGGUGGAGCGAAUCCCAAAAAGCCGGUCUCAGUUCGGAUUGGGGUCUGCAACUCGACCCCAUGAAGUCGGAGUCGCUAGUAAUCGCAGAUCAGCAACGCUGCGGUGAAUACGUUCCCGGGCCUUGUACACACCGCCC
rnacentral:rRNA from 1 species